rnacentral:rRNA from 1 species
AGUGGAUGGGGAGCAACCUAGUUGUGCGUGUGUAAAGGUAGUGCCAAGAAAAGCGGUGAUCAUGAUGAAAAUCAAUUCCCGGUACCCGAAACCGACACAGGUGGGCAAGUAGAGAAUACUAAGGGGCGCGAGGUAACUCUCUCCAAGGAACUCGGCAAAAUGACCCCGUAACUUAGGGAGAAGGGGUGCCACCGAGAGGUGGUCGCAGUGAAGAGGCCUAGGCGACUGUUUAGCAAAAACAUAGGUCUCUGCAAACUCGAAAGAGGAGGUAUAGGGGCUGACGCCUGCCCAGUGCCGGAAGGUUAAAGAAGUUGGUCAGUCUUAGGAUAAAGCUAGCGACUGAAGCCCCGGUGAACGGCGGCCGUAACUAUAACGGUCCUAAGGUAGCGAAAUUCCUUGUCGGGUAAGUUCCGACCCGCACGAAAGGCGUAACGAUCUGGGCGCUGUCUCGGAGAGAGGCUCGGCGAAAUAGGAUUGUCUGUGAAGAUACGGACUACCUGCAUUUGGACAGAAAGACCCUAUGAAGCUUUACUAUAGCUUGGAAUUGUGUUCGGGCUUCCUGUGCGCAGGAUAGGUGGGAGGCGAAGAAGGUAUUCUUGUGGGGAUACUGGAGCCAACGGUGAGAUACCACUCUCAGGAGGCUAGAAUUCUAACUUAAUUAAGGACAGUUUCAGGUGGGUAGUUUGACUGGGGCGGUCGCCUCCAAAAAGGUAACGGAGGCGUACAAAGGUUCCCUCAGACUGGUUGGAAAUCAGUCGCAGAGUGCAAAGGCAGAAGGGAGCUUGACUGCGAGAAGUACAGUUCGAGCAGGGUGGAAACACGGUCUUAGUGAUCCGACGGUGCUGUGUGGAAGGGCCGUCGCUCAACGGAUAAAAGUUACUCUAGGAUAACAGGCUGAUCUCCCCCAAGAGUUCACAUCGACGGGGAGGUUUGGCACCUCGAUGUCGGCUCAUCACAACCUGGGGCGGAAGUACGUCCCAAGGGUUGGGCUGUUCGCCCAUUAAAGCGGUACGUGAGCUGGGUUCAGAACGUCGUGAGACAGUUCGGUCCAUAUCCGAUGUAGGCGUGAGAAUACUGAGAGGAGCCUUCCUUAGUACGAGAGGACCGGGAAGGACGCACCGCUGGUGUACCUGUUAUGAUGCCAAUUGUAAACGCAGGGUAGCCAAGUGCGGAGAGGAUAACCGCUGAAAGCAUCUAAGUGGGAAGCCCACCUCAAGAUGAGUAUUCUGGUGUAAGGUCACGGGAAGACGACCCGUAAAUAGGCACGAGGUGGAAGUGCAGAGAUGUAUGAAGCCGAAGUGUACUAAUAGACCGUCGGCUUGACC